rnacentral:rRNA from 1 species
UGGGGAAUAUUGGACAAUGGGCGAAAGCCUGAUCCAGCCAUGCCGCGUGUGUGAAGAAGGUCUUCGGAUUGUAAAGCACUUUAAGUUGGGAGGAAGGGCAGUAAGCGAAUACCUUGCUGUUUUGACGUUACCGACAGAAUAAGCACCGGCUAACUCUGUGCCAGCAGCCGCGGUAAUACAGAGGGUGCAAGCGUUAAUCGGAAUUACUGGGCGUAAAGCGCGCGUAGGUGGUUCGUUAAGUUGAAUGUGAAAGCCCCGGGCUCAACCUGGGAACUGCAUCCAAAACUGGCGAGCUAGAGUAGGGCAGAGGGUGGUGGAAUUUCCUGUGGAGCGGUGAAAUGCGUAGAUAUAGGAAGGAACACCCGUGGCAAAGGCGACCACCUGGGCUCAUACUGACACUGAGAUGCGAAUGCGUGAGGAGCAAACAGG